rnacentral:rRNA from 1 species
UUCGUCACACUAUCAUUAACUGAAUCCAUAGGUUAAUGAGGCGAACCGGGGGAACUGAAACAUCUAAGUACCCCGAGGAAAAGAAAUCAACCGAGAUUCCCCCAGUAGCGGCGAGCGAACGGGGAGCAGCCCAGAGCCUGAAUCAGUGUGUGUGUUAGUGGAAGCGUCUGGAAAGGCGCGCGAUACAGGGUGACAGCCCCGUACACAAAAAUGCACAUGCUGUGAGCUCGAUGAGUAGGGCGGGACACGUGGUAUCCUGUCUGAAUAUGGGGGGACCAUCCUCCAAGGCUAAAUACUCCUGACUGACCGAUAGUGAACCAGUACCGUGAGGGAAAGGCGAAAAGAACCCCGGCGAGGGGAGUGAAAAAGAACCUGAAACCGUGUACGUACAAGCAGUGGGAGCACGCUUAGGCGUGUGACUGCGUACCUUUUGUAUAAUGGGUCAGCGACUUAUAUUCUGUAGCAAGGUUAACCGAAUAGGGGAGCCGAAGGGAAACCGAGUCUUAACUGGGCGUUAAGUUGCAGGGUAUAGACCCGAAACCCGGUGAUCUAGCCAUGGGCAGGUUGAAGGUUGGGUAACACUAACUGGAGGACCGAACCGACUAAUGUUGAAAAAUUAGCGGAUGACUUGUGGCUGGGGGUGAAAGGCCAAUCAAACCGGGAGAUAGCUGGUUCUCCCCGAAAGCUAUUUAGGUAGCGCCUCGUGAAUUCAUCUCCGGGGGUAGAGCACUGUUUCGGCAAGGGGGUCAUCCCGACUUACCAACCCGAUGCAAACUACGAAUACCGGAGAAUGUUAUCACGGGAGACACACGGCGGGUGCUAACGUCCGUCGUGAAGAGGGAAACAACCCAGACCGCCAGCUAAGGUCCCAAAGUCAUGGUUAAGUGGGAAACGAUGUGGGAAGGCCCAGACAGCCAGGAUGUUGGCUUAGAAGCAGCCAUCAUUUAAAGAAAGCGUAAUAGCUCACUGGUCGAGUCGGCCUGCGCGGAAGAUGUAACGGGGCUAAACCAUGCACCGAAGCUGCGGCAGCGACGCUUAUGCGUUGUUGGGUAGGGGAGCGUUCUGUAAGCCUGCGAAGGUGUGCUGUGAGGCAUGCUGGAGGUAUCAGAAGUGCGAAUGCUGACAUAAGUAACGAUAAAGCGGGUGAAAAGCCCGCUCGCCGGAAGACCAAGGGUUCCUGUCCAACGUUAAUCGGGGCAGGGUGAGUCGACCCCUAAGGCGAGGCCGAAAGGCGUAGUCGAUGGGAAACAGGUUAAUAUUCCUGUACUUGGUGUUACUGCGAAGGGGGGACGGAGAAGGCUAUGUUGGCCGGGCGACGGUUGUCCCGGUUUAAGCGUGUAGGCUGGUUUUCCAGGCAAAUCCGGAAAAUCAAGGCUGAGGCGUGAUGACGAGGCACUACGGUGCUGAAGCAACAAAUGCCCUGCUUCCAGGAAAAGCCUCUAAGCAUCAGGUAACAUCAAAUCGUACCCCAAACCGACACAGGUGGUCAGGUAGAGAAUACCAAGGCGCUUGAGAGAACUCGGGUGAAGGAACUAGGCAAAAUGGUGCCGUAACUUCGGGAGAAGGCACGCUGAUAUGUAGGUGAAGUCCCUCGCGGAUGGAGCUGAAAUCAGUCGAAGAUACCAGCUGGCUGCAACUGUUUAUUAAAAACACAGCACUGUGCAAACACGAAAGUGGACGUAUACGGUGUGACGCCUGCCCGGUGCCGGAAGGUUAAUUGAUGGGGUUAGCGCAAGCGAAGCUCUUGAUCGAAGCCCCGGUAAACGGCGGCCGUAACUAUAACGGUCCUAAGGUAGCGAAAUUCCUUGUCGGGUAAGUUCCGACCUGCACGAAUGGCGUAAUGAUGGCCAGGCUGUCUCCACCCGAGACUCAGUGAAAUUGAACUCGCUGUGAAGAUGCAGUGUACCCGCGGCAAGACGGAAAGACCCCGUGAACCUUUACUAUAGCUUGACACUGAACAUUGAGCCUUGAUGUGUAGGAUAGGUGGGAGGCUUUGAAGUGUGGACGCCAGUCUGCAUGGAGCCGACCUUGAAAUACCACCCUUUAAUGUUU